GUUUCUCAUGUUGCAGUAUACAAAGUAUCACCAGAGGACACAGCAUUAUUUAAAUAUCUUCAAGGAACCUCUUAAACUCAACAUGUUGCAUAUUUUCAAUCCAGUGCAUGUUGAGGCUGGAACAAUGAUUUAAAAUCUCACAUGCGAUAGGUCUGUGAUUCAUGCAGCUAGAAUGUUUUGGGCUGAAAGGGGCCUUUAAGAUCACCUGGUUUCAAACUCCCCAAUUUCAACACAGCGUCAUCCAGGAGGUUUCUCAAGUUCAAG